UACGAAGGGUGCAAGCGUUACUCGGAAUUACUGGGCGUAAAGCGUGCGUAGGUGGUGAGUUAAGUCUGUCGUGAAAGCCCCGGGCUCAACCUGGGAAUGGCGAUGGAUACUGGCUCGCUAGAGUGCGGUAGAGGGUGGUGGAAUUCCCGGUGUAGCAGUGAAAUGCGUAGAGAUCGGGAGGAACAUCAGUUGCGAAGGCGGCCACCUGGACCAGCACUGACGCUGAGGCACGAAAGCGUGGGGAGCAAACAGG
rnacentral:rRNA from 1 species